AGGGCUGGAAGGAUAUAUACA
rnacentral:miRNA from 1 species